GACGAACGCUGGCGGCGUGCUUAACACAUGCAAGUCGAACGAAGAGCGAUGGACGCUUGCUUCUAUCAAUCUUAGUGGCGCACGGGUGAGUAACGCGUAAUCAACCUGCCCUUCAGAGGGGGACAACAGUUGGAAACGACUGCUAAUACCGCAUACGAUCUAAUCUCGGCAUCGAGGAUAGAUGAAAGGUGGCCUCUACAUGUAAGCUAUCACUGAAGUUGGGGAUUGCGUCUGAUUAGCUAGUUGGAGGGGUAACGGCCCAACAAGGGGAUGAUCAGUAGCCGGUCUGAGAGGAUGAACGGCCACAUUGGGACUGAGACACGGCCCAGACUCCUACGGGAGGCAGCGGUGGGGAAUCUUCCGCAAUGGACGAAAGUCUGACGGAGCAACGCCGCGUGAGUGAUGACGGCCUUCGGGUUGUAAAGCUCGGUUAAUCGGGAAGAAAGGCCUUCUUGCGAAUAGUGAGAAGGAUUGACGGUACCGGAAUAGAAAGCCACGGCUAACUACGUG
rnacentral:rRNA from 1 species